rnacentral:tRNA from 1 species
AUUUAAAUAGCUUAUAAAGAGUAUAACAUUGAAGAUGUUAGGGAAAUAUUAAUAUAUUUUUAAAUA